CGAACGGUCAGACCUUAGCCCCUUCCUCAUUCCUUUCUUUCCUUUCUCUCUCUUCUCCUUGCUCUCGCUGCCGCACGCCCCCUCGUCCAGCGAAUGGAUCCGGCUGGCUCCAGCAUCGACCGCAACGGAUCGAACUCCCCUUUGUUCUCUUCCAUGCCGUUGCCCCCUCACGCGUCUCCCGGCGCCACUGUCGCUUGAGCACGGGGAUCCACCGAGAUCGGCGGUGUAGCCAUGGCCGGCAGCUGGCUACACAGAAGGGACCACUGACGGUCCCCAAGCCGAAGGGUUGGCGUCCACAGAAUCCCUGUCACCUCACUAGCGUUCUUUGUCCUAGCAGCACCCACCAUCACCUAUGCAGAACUUGACGUCAACAUCAAUAGCGCACAGGAGGUGUUCGAUGGAAUGGCCCUGAGUGAUGCAUGUGUCUAUGUUAUAAAUGGCGAAUCACGAUGUCUAAAACAAGCUAGAUCAUUAAUGUAUUCAGGAACACAAAUCACCGUUGCCUGGAAUGCUCUGGUGCGAGCAGACUCUAGUGAUGCAUCUGUUAGAACUUCAUCAUUAGUUACUUUGUGUCCAUCUAAUUCUAGUACCUGUGUGACUAUCCGACAAGGCUAGCUAAUGGACAUUGGCCGUAACAAAGAGACGUCCACUGGCAUGGAAGAGAAGGUGUUGAAGUUGGUUGUGAUGGGCUUUCUAGAGGAUCCGAUGAGCAGUGCCCUGAAGACUGUAUAAUUUCUCGAUGCUGUGAAAAUUAUAAAUAUUGUGAGCAUUCAGAAAAGUUCAGCUGUCUUGAAUUCUGCACUCUGAAUGUUCUGAAACUUCAGAACGCCAGCAGCUCCUAUGGCCAAUCUGCCCCGCGCCACCAAGUUGCUUGCGGCUCAACCUGCACGGCAGAUGGCGAUGGUGGUUAUGCAGGUGGCAUUUUACGACAGAUUACCCAUUAUUUUUUACCCUGUAGUGCCGGUAGGUAGCCUGUCUUUCUGUUUUUGUCGGAUGUUGGUUCCUGAUAGUCUUCCAUGCUGGCAGAUUAUUUUCUUAACUGGGGUUAGUAUUUUCAUUUCAGCACUAUCUUUGUUUGAGAACUCAUUGUACUAUGAAUUUUUGUUGGUGUAGUAUGUCUGAUAUUAUGUGUUGAUACCAUGAUUAUUGUAACAAUGACUACAUACCAAUGUUUGCUUAAAUUUUAGCUAACACGUGUGUUCUUUGUCUA